rnacentral:rRNA from 1 species
GACGAACGCUGGCGGCGUGCUUAACACAUGCAAGUCGAACGGAAAGGCCCUGCUUUUGUGGGGUGCUCGAGUGGCGAACGGGUGAGUAACACGUGAGUAACCUGCCCUUGACUUUGGGAUAACUUCACGAAACUGGGGCUAAUACCGGAUAGGAGCUCCUGCUGCAUGGUGGGGGUUGGAACUUUGCGGCGUUUGGGGUUGAAUGCGCGGCUGACGGGUUUGUUGGUGGGGAGGGGGCUUACCAAGUCUUGGAAGGAUCCCUGGCAUGAGAGGGGGACCGGCCACAUGGGGACUGAGAGACGGCCCAGACGCCUACGGGAGGCAGCAGUGGGGAAUAUUGCACAAUGGGCGGAAGCCGGAUGAAGCAACGCCGCGGGCGUGAUGACGGUUUGUUGGGUGUAAACCGCUUUAGCCUGUGACGAAGCGUUAGUGACGGUAAUGGGUAAAGAAGCACCGGCUAACUACGUG